AUAGCGUAUAUUAAAGUUGUUGCAGUUAAAAAGCUCGUAGUUGAACUUCAGACUUGGUUGGGCGGUCCGCCUAACGGCGUGUACUGUCUGGCUGGGUCUUACCUCUUGGUGAGCCAGCGUGCCCUUUAUUGGCGUGCGUUGGGGAACCAGGACUUUUACCUUGAGAAAAUUAGAGUGUUCAAAGCAGGCCUUCGCCUGAAUACAUUAGCAUGGAAUAAUAAAAUAGGACGUGCGGUUCUAUUUUGUUGGUUUCUAGAGUCGCCGUAAUGAUUAAUAGGGACAGUUGGGGGCAUUAGUAUUGAGUUGCUAGAGGUGAAAUUCUUGGAUUUACUCAAGACUAACUACUG
rnacentral:rRNA from 1 species